rnacentral:rRNA from 1 species
UACGGGGGGAGCAAGCGUUGUUCGGAUUUACUGGGCGUAAAGGGCGCGUAGGCGGCCACCGCAAGUCGACUGUGAAAUCUCCGGGCUUAACCCGGAAAGGUCAGCCGAUACUGCGGGGCUAGAGUGCAGAAGGGGCAACUGGAAUUCUCGGUGUAGCGGCGAAAUGCGUAGAUAUCGAGAGGAACACCUGCGGCGAAGGCGGGUUGCUGGGCUGACACUGACGCUGAGGCGCGAAAGCUAGGGGAGCGAACGGG